GAGGAGACGAUGCAGAAACAGAGU
rnacentral:siRNA from 1 species